rnacentral:rRNA from 1 species
AUGGUCUUAGCUUGCUAAGGCCGAUGGCGACCGGCGCACGGGUGAGUAACACGUAUCCAACCUGCCGUCUACUCUUGGACAGCCUUCUGAAAGGAAGAUUAAUACAAGAUGGCAUCAUGAGUCCGCAUGUUCACAUGAUUAAAGAUUUAUCGGUGUACGAUGGGGAUGCGUUCCAUUAGGUAGUAGGCGGGGUAACGGCCCACCUAGCCAACGAUGGAUAGGGGUUCUGAGAGGUUAACCCCACAUUGGUACUGAGACACGGACCAAACUCC